rnacentral:rRNA from 1 species
CAGUAGCCGCGGUAAUCCGUAGGGUGCGAGCGUUAAUCGGAAUUACUGGGCGUAAAGCGCACGUAGGCGGACAUUUAAGUCAGGGGUGAAAUCCCGGGGCUCAACCCCGGAACUGCCUUUGAUACUGGGUGUCUAGAGUAUGGAAGAGGUGAGUGGAAUUCCGAGUGUAGAGGUGAAAUUCGUAGAUAUUCGGAGGAACACCAGUGGCGAAGGCGGCUCACUGGUCCAUUACUGACGCUGAGGUGAGAAAGCGUGGGGAGCAAACAGGAUUAGAUACCCCCGUAGUCCCUGUCUCUUAUAU